AUCACAGUAGCCCUGAGUUGCU
rnacentral:misc_RNA from 1 species